rnacentral:rRNA from 1 species
UACAGAGGUCCCAAGCGUUGUUCGGAUUCACUGGGCGUAAAGGGCGCGUAGGCGGUCGACCCAGUCCGGGGUGAAAUCUUUCGGCCCAACCGGAAAAGGGCCUUGGAUACUGCUUGUCUGGAGGGAGGUAGGGGCAGACGGAACUUCCGGUGGAGCGGUGAAAUGCGUUGAUAUCGGAAGGAACGCCGGUGGCGAAAGCGGUCUGCUGGACCUCUACUGACGCUGAGGCGCGAAAGCCAGGGGAGCGAACGGG